rnacentral:rRNA from 1 species
CUGGCUCAGGAUGAACGCUGGCGGCGUGCCUAACACAUGCAAGUCGAACGGAGAUUUAACGCUGAUGAGGCUUCGGCGGAUUCUUGUUAAAUCUUAGUGGCGGACGGGUGAGUAACGCGUGGG